GCCGGGUUAGCCAAGCGGCGACGGCACCUGCCUUGUAAGCAGGCGGAGCAAUCCUUCGUGGGUUCGAGUCCCACACCCGGCUCCA
rnacentral:tRNA from 1 species